rnacentral:rRNA from 1 species
AACGUACGCUGGCGGCACGCCUAACACAUGCAAGUCGAACGAAGUAGCAAUACUUAGUGGCAGACGGGUGAGUAACAUGUAGGUAUCUGCCCUUUGGCCUGGAAUAACACGAGGAAACUUGUGCUAAUACCGGAUAAGUCUUCACGGAGAAAGCUUUAUGCACCAUUGGAUGAGCCUGCACUUGAUUAGUUUGUUGGUAGGGUAAUGGCCUACCAAGACUGUGAUCAAUAGCUGAUUUGAGAGGAUGAUCAGCCACAUUGGGACUGAGACACGGCCCAAACUCCUACGGGAGGCAGCAGUGGGGAAUCUUGCACAAUGGAGGAAACUCUGAUGCAGCGAUGCCGCGUGAGUGAAGAAGGCCCUUGGGUUGUAAAGCUCUUUCGUCGGGGAAGAAAAUGACUGUACCCGAAUAAGAAGGUCCGGCUAACUUCGUGCCAGCAGCCGCGGUAAUACGAAGGGACCUAGCGUAGUUCGGAAUUACUGGGCUUAAAGAGUUCGUAGGUGGUUGAAAAAGUUGGUGGUGAAAUCCCAGAGCUUAACUCUGGAACUGCCAUCAAAACUUUUCAGCUAGAGUAUGAUAGAGGAAAGCAGAAUUUCUAGUGUAGAGGUGAAAUUCGUAGAUAUUAGAAAGAAUACCAAUUGCGAAGGCAGCUUUCUGGAUCAUUACUGACACUGAGGAACGAAAGCAUGGGUAGCGAAGAGGAUUAGAUACCCUCGUAGUCCAUGCCGUAAACGAUGUGUGUUAGACGUUGGAAAUUUAUUUUCAGUGUCGCAGCGAAAGCGAUAAACACACCGCCUGGGGAGUACGACCGCAAGGUUA